rnacentral:sRNA from 1 species
ACACAGGGUAUUUGGGCACUAGUGUUU